AAAGCUGUACUUUAAAUCUGCUGACGAGCGAAAUGAAAUAGCAUUAGCGACUGAUUUCCACAAAAUCUUUCAUAAAAGAUGAAGACAUUCUAUGUGAUCUUCUCUUCUUUUGGAAUAAUGCCACCAAGAUUUGAUCCUAUGAGUGAGAGUGCUCAAGAAGAGCUGGGCCGCUGAAUGGCUUCCUUGUUGGAACAUUGACAAUAGUUACCUUUCAUGGACCCCUCGAAGCUUCUCCAAAUGUCUAGCAGCAACUCCUAUUAUACUUCAUACUGUAGCAGUGCUGAUGGUUUGGAGUCUCAGAGGUGGGAGUGAAAGACAAAUGACAUGCCAAACACCUGCAGUGGAGCUUCUACCAGCAGGACUGGGUUAAUGUCAGAAGACAUGAAGGUGUUCCAAGCCCUUUUAUUACUUUCCUCAGGGAAGAAACUGUGGGCCCGUGGUUAGACCCACUCAUAAUCCUCACACCUCAUUUGGGGCACUAAGAGCAAGUUUCUCCUUACCCUUCACAGAAACAGGAAAAACAAGACUGAUACCUAAACCAAGCUGUUAUGAGCUGAGGAUUUACACACUGCAAGAAAUUCUCUUUCCUAGCAGAGAUAGCAGCCUAUUUUCUAGGAAAGGGCCAUAGAUAUUGAUACUUCUCUGAGU